rnacentral:rRNA from 1 species
GAUCAUGGCUCAGGAUGAACGCUAGCUACAGGCUUAACACAUGCAAGUCGAGGGGCAGCAUGAACUUAGCUUGCUAAGUUUGAUGGCGACCGGCGCACGGGUGAGUAACACGUAUCCAACCUGCCGAUGACUCGGGGAUAGCCUUUCGAAAGAAAGAUUAAUACCCGAUGGCAUAAUUCUUCCGCAUGGUAGAACUAUUAAAGAAUUUCGGUUCAUCGAUGGGGAGUGCGUUCCAUUUAGGG